UGCCAAGUGGUGCAGCGGAAGCAUGCUGGGCCCAUAAUCCAGAGGUUGAUGGAUUGAAACCAUCUUCUGCUA
rnacentral:tRNA from 1 species